GGGACGAAGGGAACAACUGCCCAGGGGGGCUGGGCGCCUGAGAAAGGCCUGCUCCACCUUCCCGUCAUCCCCAGCUGUUCUCCAGGAGCCAGACCUGUGCUUCUCCAGGCCGUGGCUCACGCCCUCGUUGACACUUAAGACCUACAAAGCCCUCGGAGGGAAGGCUCCGCCAGGGGCCCCGGGGCCAGGAAAAUGCAGGCCCUGCUCCACUGUCGCCCGGCAACGCCACACACAAACAUUCGCUGCCGGGAAGAGGCGAGCGGCAUUAAAGCCGCCUGACGGGGAGGUGAUGGGGCAGCAGGGAGAGGCGGAGGUAGACAGUGUGUAAUUGCCAAGCCGGAAGGCUGGCCUGUGGCCAGCGCAUCGAGUUUAACCGUCUGUGUCACUGCCCUCCACGUUCAAGGAGAAUGCUGCCUGCGGCCAUGAUUCCGGGCUGAGGGCCCUGUCGCCGUCUGGCCCGGGCCGACCCUGGGAGGGCACACGUGGGGUCAGCUCUUGGCGCGGGUUCCCACCCCUCCAUCACAUCACAUCACAACCCGGGCAGCUGCGCCCAGACCCGGGUGUGGAAGGAGAGGCCAGCCCCGGCUCUGGGGCGCCCCUCCACGGGCGCCCCUGCACGUCUGAACAGGGCCUCAGGUCCCCUCCUCCCUCUGCCCUGCCCCUGCGGCCGUGGGCUUGCUGCUUUGGAAACGGCUUCCAAGGAGGGAACGGGCUCGCGGAGGAUCUUUUUUGCUCGACCACAGCCCCCUGUCCCUGACAGGCUGCUCCAGCAGACCAGGCAGAGCUCAGCCGAAGCCGGGAGCCAACACGGAGACCCUGAGGCUUUCAGGCCUGUAUGAAUCCUGGCCACCCCAGCUGUACCCGUUGUAGGUACAUGCGCCAUGGUCCCGCCAGUGCUUGUGAAAGCAGGAAGCCCGCCAGCUGCCUCAUUCCAAAGACCCGGGACCACAGGGGCUGGGAAACCGCUCAUCUGCACCACCGGCCCUUUCCAUGCGUGGCCCUGCCCCGGCCCCGCGGAGCACCUGCCCCCUUGCUGGCCGGCUUUCAUGACCUCUGUGCAGCGCGUCCUUCCCUGAUUCCCCGAAUGUGAGCAUCUCCCCGGGUCUGGUUCUCAGCCUGCUCUCCCUGCUCUGCUCCAACACCCUCCCUCCCUCACCGCAGCAGGGCCAAGCCACCCCCAGGAGCACAGUGGUGACGUUGGGACCCUGAAAUCCACAGCUCUGGCCUCAGUUGUCCGUUCCCCAUUUCUGCCAGAGACAUCUGUCACUCUUCCGUCGGCCCACACUUGAGAAUCGUGUUCAAUUCGCCUGUCUCUCCUCCAAAGCCUGCUUCCAAAUCCCAGCAGGUCCUUAUCCAGUUUCUACAUCUCUCCCUGUGUCCCCCCCUGUCCUCGUGCCUCCAGCCUGGCCACCUUGGGACUUUACUGAUGAACCGGAAAGCGACAAGGAUGGGCCCUUCCCCCGGGGCUAAAGAUGAUGCCCCCCACCUCCACCAGGUUCUCGACCUUUGAUCCCUCCUACACGCAGCUGCUAGAUGAAUCUUCCUCUGCCGCGGGCCCAGUCCCACUUCUGGGCGUAGAAUUGAUUCCACUGAGUUAAGAGAUACAACAGCGUGGGUGCCAAGCGUUUGCAAUUUGUGGCUUUGAACAAACGCUCGUUACUAUUUCAACGAGAGCAGGAGGGGCGGGGUGGGGGUCACGUCUCACCUCUCUAGCGAAGCCUUCUGAGGGGGAGAUCUGGUGAUUUGCCUCACCAGUCAGUAUCCAUUCUCCAUCGUCCCCCCAGUCCCUGCAGUUCAAGCGAAGACAGCCAUGCUCCCGGGGGCCCGGGGUGGGCCAUGGCCCAAGCAGGCCAAUUCCAGCCAGACAGCGGCAGCCCUGGGGAUUUUUCUGGAACUGUGGGGACAGGGCGCCCGUUCUAUCAUGGUCGCUCUGCUAAUAAACUGUAAGCCGGAAA